UACGGGGGGGGGUAAGCGUUGUUCGGAAUUACUGGGCGUAAAGGGCUCGUAGGCGGCCAACUAAGUCGGACGUGAAAUCCCUCAGCUUAACUGGGGAACUGCGUCCGAUACUGGAUGGCUUGGAUUUGGGAGAGGGAUGCGGAAUUCCAGGUGUAGCGGUGAAAUGCGUAGAUAUCUGGAGGAACACCGGUGGCGAAGGCGGCAUCCUGGACCAAUAUUGACGCUGAGGAGCGAAAGCCAGGGGAGCAAACGGGG
rnacentral:rRNA from 1 species